rnacentral:lncRNA from 1 species
CCCUCUGAGCGCGCAAAAAUGGCCCUGGACUGCGCAUGGACCGCGACUUCGGUUCACGCGGCUCCGAUGGACUGCCAGCACCCUGCGAUCCACGGUGGACCGCAUGGGGAUGUUGGCCUGGGCAUCUGCGUACAUUGGGCCGACCCGCAUGCCCCCAGCACUGGGCCUGCUUGGGCACCAGGCCGCGCGCGUCUUCACCGAGCCUGAUGGCGCUC